GACGAACGCUGGCGGCGUGCCUAAAACAUGCAAGUCGAACGGGGUCUUCGGACCCAGUGGCGAACGGCGGAGUAAUACAUAAGCAACGUGCCCUGAAGACUGGGAUAUACGAUGGAAACGUCGGGCAAUACCAGAUGUGGUUGGGAGGAGUCAUCUUCAUCCAAUUAAACGGAUUUAUUCGCUUCGGGAGCGGCUUGUGGCCUAUCAGCUAGUUGGUGAGGUAAAGGCUCACCAAGGCGACGACGGGUAGGGGUCUGAGAGGAUGAUCCCCUCGAGUGGGACUGAGACACGGCCCACACACCUACGGGUGGCAGCAGUUGGGAAUCUUGCACAAUGGGGGAAACCCUGAUGCAGCGACGCCGCGUGGAGGAUGAAGGAUUUCGGUCUGUAAACUCCUUUUACAGGGAAAGACUUAGGACGGUACCCUGUGAAUAAGCUCCGGCUAACUACGUGCCAGCAGCCGCGGUAAU
rnacentral:rRNA from 1 species